GAAACAAGAAUUUCUAUCAGAUUGUGACCACCUUUACUUUGCUGAAGAGCGUGCUCAGAGGAUGCUGCAGAACUCGUUCUUUAGAUGAAUGACAUCUCAGGUCAAGCCAAUUAAAAGACAACUGAUGGAGACAGUACUCCAAACUGUAGCAUAUGGCACCAUGGCAUAAAACACACAGUAGAUGGAAAACAAAUUGGCUCAGAUUUUAGCAUUGAAAUUUAAUUGAAUAUAAAUGAUGUUUGACUCUGAACCACCUUGAAAUUUCCAUCUAUUUCUUGGUUUCUUAUUUGCAUCAAGAAUAGAAGCAAUAUUUUGUUCUUGGGUCAUAUAAUGGUAUCUUAUUUGCCUUUGAAUGAAUUCCCUGCUGCAGCUAUUUUAGUGUUCAACAUUUUUCUUUGGCUGUAAGUAGAAUCAGUUGAAAGCCAGAAUUUCUGAUUUGUGAUGUAUUUGGAAGUUCUAAAAUCAGUUUUACUGCUGUGAGCUAUCCCCCCUCUCACAGCACCAAGAAAGCAAAUAAAAUGUCUAGUUUUCAAAUUCUCUUGCUGUUC
rnacentral:lncRNA from 1 species